rnacentral:tRNA from 1 species
GGUGCUGUAGCUCAGUUGGUAGAGCAUCGGACUGAAAAUCCGUGAGUCGGUGGUUCGAAUCCGCCCAGCACCA